rnacentral:rRNA from 1 species
CCUACGGUUGGCUGCAGUGAGGAAUAUUGGUCAAUGGUCGGGAGACUGAACCAGCCAAGCCGCGUGAGGGAGGAAGGUACAGAGUAUCGUAAACCUCUUUUGUCAGGGAACAAAGACUGGGUCGCGUCCCCGGACGAGUGUACCUGAAGAAAAAGCAUCGGCUAACUCCGUGCCAGCAGCCGCAGUAAUACGGAGGAUGCGAGCGUUAUCCGGAUUUAUUGGGUUUAAAGGGUGAGGAGGCGGUCUGUUAAGUCAGCGGUCAAAGCCCGGGGCCUAACCCCGGCCCGGCCGUGGAAACUGGCAGGAUGGAGUAGGAGAGAGGUAUGCGGAAUGCGCGGUGUAGCGGUGAAAUGCAUAGAUAUCGCGCAGAACUCCGAUUGCGAAGGCAGCAUGCCGGCUCCAGACUGACGCUGAGGCACGAAAGCGUGGGUAUCGAACAGGAUUAGAUACCCGGGUAGUC